GACAGAGGGUUCAAACGUUGCUCGGAAUCACUGGGCGUAAAGGGCGUUUAGGCGGAUCGGCAAGUCAGGGGGGAAAGCCCAGAGCUCAACUCUGGAAUUGCCUUUGAGACUGAGUGGCUUGAGUACGGGAGAGGUGAGUGGAAUUCCCAGUGUAGAGGUGAAAUUCGUAGAUAUUGGGAAGAACACCGGUGGCGAAGGCGGCUCACUGGCCCGUAACUGACGCUCAUGCACGACAGCGUGGGGAUCAAACAGG
rnacentral:rRNA from 1 species